rnacentral:rRNA from 1 species
CAGCAGCCACGGUAAUACGUAGGGUGCGAGCGUUAAUCGGAAUUACUGGGCGUAAAGCGUGCGUAGGCGGUGAGUUAAGUCUGCUGUGAAAUCCCCGGGCUCAACCUGGGAAUGGCAGUGGAUACUGGCUCGCUAGAGUGUGUCAGAGGAUGGUGGAAUUCCAGGUGUAGCGGUGAAAUGCGUAGAGAUCUGGAGGAAUACCGGUGGCGAAGGCGGCCCCCUGGACGAAGACUGUCGCUCAUGCACGAAAGCGUGGGGAGCAAACAGGAUUAGAUACCCGAGUAGUCCCUGUCUCUUAUAC